rnacentral:rRNA from 1 species
AUACGGAGGGUGCAAGCGUUACUCGGAAUCACUGGGCGUAAAGCGCGCGCAGGCGGCUAUUUAAGUUGGAUGUGAAAGCCUACGGCUCAACCGUAGAACUGCAUCCAAAACUAUUUAGCUAGAGUGUGGGAGAGGAAGAUGGAAUUAGUUGUGUAGGGGUAAAAUCCGUAGAGAUAACUAGGAAUACCAAAAGCGAAGGCAAUCUUCUGGAACACUUCUGACGCUGAGGCGCGAAAGCGUGGGGAGCAAACAGGAUUAGAAACCCUAGUAGUCC